GUUUCAGGGCGGGGUGAAAUUCCCCACUGGCGGUGACGGCAAAGCCGAAGUCCGCGACCCGCGCAAGCGGCUGACCCGGUGGGAUUCCGGGACCAACGGUAUAGUCCGGAUGGGAGAAA
rnacentral:ncRNA from 1 species